CACGCGCGGUGUUCUGCCUCCAGUCGGUCGCGAUAGCGCUCUCCAUCCUGCCGCCGCCGCCUACCAUUUCUGCCAUUCCUGUCUAUUCCCAUCGUUGAAACCGCUCGCCCUCUCCACGUGACAUCCAAACGCGACCGCCCCCUCCCCACCCCCACCAGCCGCCCGCCUCCUCUGCGUCGCAUCCGCCGCGAGCUCGGGGCGGGACAGCCUCCACGGCGGCGGGGUCACGCUGAACAGGGAGCCGCUGCAGGGCCGGCGCCUGCACGCCAUCUCCGUGUAUGUGAGCGGGAUGCUGACCGUGCGCGAGACGCUGCUGUUCGCCGCUGAGUUCUGCCUGCCCUGCGCGCUUUCCUCAGAGCGGAAGCGCGCGCGCGUCGACCAGCUCGGCCUCUUCUACGCUGCCGACACCAUCAACGGCUGGCGGCAGCGGCGUUCCUAUCGCAGCCAUGCGCCGUCGACGUCGUCUACGGGGAGGUGUGGGCAGGACGGCUGGCACUGCCGGUGGUGAACGGGGAAGAGCUGUUUGCACGCGGGCUGUUGGGUGUCGAGCUCGCCCCGAUGACGUUCCGUCGUUCGCAGCAAAGCCAGACUGGUGCCCUGUGUUCCUUCGGGCAUCACUACGGCAAUUUGAGGGGCUAGAGGACGCCGCCGACGUGCUCGUCAACUCAUUCCACGAGAUCGAACCCAAGGAGGCAGAUUAUAUGGCCCUAACAUGGCAUGCAAAGACAAUAGGCCCAACAUUGCCAUCAUUUUAUCUUGAUGAUGACUGUUUGCCGUUGAACAAGACUUACGGUUUCAACCUCUUCAACAGCAGUGAGUCAUGUCUGGCUUGGCUCGACAAACAGCUUCCGUGUUCUGUUGUUCUUGUAUCCUAUGGUACUGUCUCUGAUUAUGAUGAAGCACAGUUAGAGGAGCUUGGCAAUGGAUUGUACAAUUCUGGCAAACCAUUCAUUUGGGUUGUGAGGUCAAACGAAGAACAUAAGUUGUCCAAUGAACUCCGUGACAAGUGCAAGGAACGUGGCCUUAUUGUUUCUUAGUGCCCCCAGCUGGAAGUUCUAGCACAUAAAGCUACAGGUUGUUUCUUCACACAUUGCGGAUGGAACUCAACAUUGGAAGCAAUUGUUAAUGGUGUGCCAAUGGUGGCAAUACCACACUGGGCAGACUAGCCGACCAUAUCAAAAUAUAUGGAGAGCAUGUGGGGCUUGGGUGUCCGGGUGCGCAAGGAUGAGAAAGGCUUGGUGACGAGGGACAAGGUGGAAAGGUGCAUCAAGGAUGUCAUGGAUGGUGAUAGUAAGGAUAAGUAUAGGAAGAGUGCCACUAUGUGGAUGCAAAAGGCCAAGGCAGCUAUGCAGAAUGGAGGGAGUUCGGACAAGAAUAUUACAGAAUUCAUCGCUAAGUAUUCUUUAAGUUAAUUUUCAAAGAUUUCGUAAAAAAGUUAAUUUUCAAAGGUAUAAUGAUAGUGUUAUAAUUACUUUCUACCUUCGUGGAUUGUAUGCUGCAUGUUAUAUUUUGUCUCAGGAUUGUGCGUAUUACGUUUUGACUUGAUGCUGUAGAUGCUACAACAGCAACCUCCACGUCUAAAAAUAUAUACAUUGUUAUGCGCUAUCCUUUGAAACUUUAUAAUCACAUUAUCUUUACAACUAAUUAAGUACUCAUUGUAGGCGUCCACACGCCGCGAGCUCGGGGCGGGACAGCCUCCACGGUGGCGGGGUCACGCUGAACAGGGAGCCGCUGCAGGGCCGGCACCUGCACGCCAUCUCCGUGUAUGUGAGCAGGAUACUGACCGUGCGCGAGACGUUGCUGUUCGCUGCCGAGUUCCGCCUGCCCUGCGCGCUUUCCUCAGAGCGGAAGCGCGUGGGCGUCGACCAGCUCGGCCUCUUCUACACCGCCGACACCAUCAUCGGCAACAGGGGCCACCACGGCACGUCCUCGGCAGCGGCGACCUGUACGCGGUGUGUGCUGGUGAUGCAAGUGGCGGCGUGGGCGUGGGCGUGGGCGGCCUAUACGAGGUCGUGUACAACAACGUCGUUAGUCUAUGUGUCAAGGCCAUUGGGUGGAGGCCCGAGCGGAGGUUCAAGUGGAAGCUCCUCGACGGCUCGACGGGGAGAAGAGGAGCGCCCACUUCCCUAUGGUCCUGGUCCAGAUGCCCAUGUAUAACGAGCUGGAGGUGCAUAAGCUGUUAGCGGCAGCAUGUGAGCUGCAGUGGUCGAAGGACAGGAUAAUAGUUCAAGUGGUGGACUAUUCUACUGAUCCCUUUAUCAAGACCUGAAGAUGAAAGAAGAGCACCGGCCCACUUUGCUUCAUAGGACCACUAUAUGGAAUGGUAUGCAGUUGGUGGACUCUGGCUUUUGUAGCGUAACAUAGUGGUCCAUGGUGCACUUAGAAAGGACAAUCUAAUCAUGAUGCAAUGACAUCAUAUGUGAUUCAUGAUAUAGCAUCGACAUCAUGGUUCAAUUAUCGUGAUAUAUGUUCCCGUUGCAACGCAUGGGCACUC